rfam:Caprimulgus carolinensis contig98232, whole genome shotgun sequence.
ACAAAGGCUCUUUUCAGAGCCACCCAUAAAAUCCUAAAGAGUUGGU